rnacentral:rRNA from 1 species
AUUGAACGCUGGCGGCAGGCUUAACACAUGCAAGUCGAGCGAGCGGCGGACGGGUGAGUAAUGUCUGGGACACUGCCUGAUGGCGGGGGAUAACUACUGGAACCGGUAGCUAAUACCGCAUACCAUCAGAUGUGCCCAGAUGGGAUUAGCUAGUAGGUGGGGUAAUGGCUCACCUAGGCGCCGAUCCCUAGCGGGUCUGAAAGGAUGACCAGCCAAACGGGAACUGAGACACGGUCCAGACUCCUACGGGAGGCAGCAGUGGGGAAUAUUGCACAAUGGGCGCAAGCCGGAUGCAGCCAUGCCGCGUGUGUGAAGAAGGCCGUCGGGUUGUAAAGCACUUUCAGCGAGGAGGCGUUACUCGCAGAAGAAGCACCGGCUAACUCCGUGCCAGCAGCCGCGGUAAUUC